rnacentral:rRNA from 1 species
AUUGAACGCUGGCGGCAGGCUUAACACAUGCAAGUCGAGCGGAGAUGAGGUGCUUGCACCUUAUCUUAGCGGCGGACGGGUGAGUAAUGCUUAGGAAUCUGCCUAUUAGUGGGGGACAACGUUCCGAAAGGAAUGCUAAUACCGCAUACGUCCUACGGGAGAAAGCAGGGGAUCUUCGGACCUUGCGCUAAUAGAUGAGCCUAAGUCGGAUUAGCUAGUUGGUGGGGUAAGGGCCUACCAAGGCGACGAUCUGUAGCGGGUCUGAGAGGAUGAUCCGCCACACUGGGACUGAGACACGGCCCAGACUCCUACGGGAGGCAGCAGUGGGGAAUAUUGGACAAUGGGGGAAACCCUGAUCCAGCCAUGCCGCGUGUGUGAAGAAGGCCUUAUGGUUGUAAAGCACUUUAAGCGAGGAGGAGGCUACUGAGACUAAUACUCUUGGAUAGUGGACGUUACUCGCAGAAUAAGCACCGGCUAACUCUGUGCCAGCCGCCGCGGUAA